GGUAACCAAAUUCCUCGGAUUAAUAAUAUGAUUAGAACAACAUAAGGAAAUAAAGCAGUAAACCAAACCACCUACAAUUAAGAAAUUAAAUUGUCAACAAUUAAAAAGAAUUGAAAAUUAACCCUUUCACUUGUUGGAUUAAAAAGAUUAGAAGAACAAUUUAAAAAUCGAAUCGAAACUCGCCCCAUCUAUCGAUCAUAAUCGAUAUUCAUUCAAUUUUUUGUUCUUUUUUUUCAUUUUUUUCUUUAAUUGUAAUUGUUUUUAAUUCUUUAGUUUUUCAUUUUCUAAAUUGUUUGUUUUUCGUUGAUUUAAUUAUUUCUGUUAAUUAAGUGACUUUGAUUCUCGAUUUAAAUUUUAUUUGAAUGUUACAAGUUGUUAGAAUUCAGUUAGGCCUAUGGAUUGAUAUUCAUACUAAGAUCAUCUUGGGCUUUUCCAAUUCUCUGUAAUCUCACAUUGUCAAUACACUUGUUGAACAUUCCUCUUGGAUGAAAUUGUUGAAUUCUAUUCUCUUUUUCAUUGUGGCUUUCAUCUUCUUCUCUCCUGGUGUUGAUACAUUUUAUACAAUAGAAGAACAGAUGAUGAAGGAAUUUUCUUUUCUCCCUGCCUUUUGGAAUUCUCUUCUUACAUUACACUUAAUAUCUCUAAAGGUGAUACAAUCAAUCAACUAUCUGAAAUCAAUUGGAUCAAUCAUCAAUUCAUCCAACGAAAAGAGAAACAAGGAUCAGGCUAUUGGUCAAUAUUUCCACCGGAUAUCAUUAGAUGCCUUAGAUAUUGAUCUUUGUUGGAAAUGUUUUCUUUUCUCUUUUAACCUUCAUUUUGAUUUCCACCCUUUGACCUUAAGUUGUUAAUUAAUAUUUUUUUUUUGGUUUCUUGGUCAACCAAUCAACAACAAUUGAAACUUACUUUCCCUGAUGUUGAGAUACCUUUCCAAAGACUGAAAUAACAGAUAAGGUAAACAAUCAACAGGCAGAAACUCAUAUCCCAUUUAAUGGUUCCCAAUCCAUCAAUUCCAGAACUUUGGUCAAGUUCAAGAAGACGUCGACUGUAAACAAAUAUACACAAAUUACAAUGAUUAAAUAACCAUCAAGAUUUUAAUCAUAAUCAAUUAUAAAAGGGAAAUUAUUGGCACAGUGAAAAUCAAACCAGGAAGAAAUGUUUUAUUAUUAUUAUGGUGUAAAUUUUAUUUCUAAUCCUCAAGGAAAAUAUGAAAUAAUCAACAGUAAACCAUUUUAAUUAAGUUCUAUGCAAAUAUCGCCAACAGAACUUGACUAAAGGUCUAUAAUAUGAAAUAUCAAAUAACAAUCAGAAGAGGAAAAGAUAUAAAAAAAAAGUUCUUACUUAAAAUAUUCCAUCGCUGGUGAAGUUCGAUUUCGAGUUGGACUAAUAACCUCAUACGAAUUGAUGGUCGAAUUUGGUAACAAUUUAAUAAUCAUUGAUGAAGAUGAUUUACUUAAUUGUGAUGAUGAAUAUAACAAAGAUGAAGACGUUGUUAAGGAUGAUAUCGAGGCAGAAUCAGAUUGUACAGUUAAGGUUAAAUUUGGACUUGAAUUGUUGCUGUUUAAUUGAUUAUAAUUAUUAUAAUCAAGAUAAUUGUCUCUAUUAAUAUCACUAUUAUCAUUAAUUGGUAUUUCUGAGCAAUUAAUUGUAUUCCAAUAAUUAUUACAUCGAGUCCAAGGCAAUUCGGUUGCAAAGGAAGCAAAGAAAAAGUAUAAAGCCCAAGCAAUUAUCACGUUGUAAUAAAAGUCCACAUAGAAAGCAAUCAAAACAACAGCAUAACCAACACCUGAUAACAAGAAGUAAUCAAACAAUUAACCUGAACAAUUAAAAAAUCGCCUCAGUAAUUACCUUUAAACAGAGGGACAAUCCGACCCCAACAGGUAAUCGCCCCUUUCCUAAAGUAUUGGCCUAAUGCUAACUCCAUGAAAAAUAACGGUAUCCCUCCGAUGGCCAACAUGAUUAAAUAAGGAAUUAAAAAUGCUCCUAGAAAAGUAAUCAACAAA